GAUCAUAAAAUCUUUCUAUCAGACUUAUGACUGUUGACUUCCCACUUCCACUUUGCCCGACCAAAGCUGCAGUUGUGCCACUUGGUACAAAUAAUGAAAAUCCACCGAAUAUUUUCUCAUCAGGUCUGGCUGGGUAACUGAAGCACACAUCAUUCAAUUCAAUAUCACCACGGAUGUCGUCCAAUAUUUUUCCAUUGGUAUCAUAAGCAUCUAUCUCUGGCUUUCUUUUUAUGGUUUCAAACAUUUUGAAAGCUGCCGCUUGACCUGCAGCGAAUGCAGACAUACAGGGAGCUGCCUGCCC